UACGUAGGGGGCUAGCGUUGUCCGGAAUCAUUGGGCGUAAAGCGCGUGUAGGCGGUUCGGUAAGUCCGCUGUGAAAGUCGGGGGCUCAACCCUCGGAUGCCGGUGGAUACUGUCGAGCUUGAGUACGGAAGAGGCGAGUGGAAUUCCUGGUGUAGCGGUGAAAUGCGCAGAUAUCAGGAGGAACACCAAUUGCGAAGGCAGCUCGCUGGGACGUUACUGACGCUGAGACGCGAAAGCGUGGGGGAGCAAACAGG
rnacentral:rRNA from 1 species